UUAUUAUGAACCCACAUAUCGGGUUAUUAUAGGUGUACGAUUUUAUUAUCAGUGUUUUGAUAAGUCUAAUAAGUAGAGGAGAGGAGGAUUCUGACCCAGAUUAACUUUUGUCACUGUAUGAAAAAGUGGGUGUCUGACAUCGGUAUUUGUUGUUUUACAUAAAAUACAUUAGAUACCAAUAUCUUCUUUUCUGCAGACCAGGUUGAGGGAAUGUGCAGUCAGCACUUCGACAAUAUUAUAGAGUAUAUUAUAACUGUGUGUCAUAAUAUUUGUGGGUGUUAAAACCAGUCAGCCAGCCGCCAUGUCAGGUAUGCUGUAGACAGCUAUUUUAUCUCCAAGGUUACUGACAACACCAGCAAGUGUGAGGCAUUGAGGUGGAUGGAUUAUCUCGGCAGUGAAAUGUGAGUACAGUGGAGAAAACACCAAACCUUCACUGGAUCUAACAUGGGUACAGGGGCCUGAGAGAGCGCCAUCUGCUGUGCCGGGUGGCAGCAGCUGUGUAUGAUACUGGUGAAGCAGAGAUGCUUGGUUGACGGGAGAUGUGACCUGAGGAUUGGUACUCCAACAUCACCGGGAGACAAGCCAGCCACAAAGAUGGAGGAGCAUCUCUUCCAAGGCAGGGAGAUGGAGGAUCACAACAAGUUUAUCAUGGAUUUACCGAGUGGACUUGGGUACAAAAUUAUAAGAUGUCUUCAAUGUUUUAUGCAACACACAGAAACACAAAAAUAAGGAAAUCUUAAUAAACAUAACUGUAGAUCAUUCUGGUGAAUGAUUAUGUUUGCGUUCUAUAUGGACACUACAAAACACCGUACCUGAGGAAGUGCGCAUGCGCACUAGUUUACCUCUCCUGUGUGUACAUCACCCGCCAGGUUGUUAGUAUAGCUUGUUGCCUGUGGCUGUGUAAGUUCAUUAUACUCAACAGAAGUUUAUGUAAUAAACACAUCUGGCUUGGAUUCAAUCUACGGACUCCUCACUCAUUUCUAUAAUGACUUUACAGCAUUAAAGUCAAGAGUGAUGUAAUAUGUAUCCUUUAUCAAUAAACAAUCAGAAUGGAUCAUCUAUGAGGAUUACUCAAUCCAACUACCUGUAGCAGAUACAUGUGAGUAACACACACACAUUGACAGCUUUAAUUAUGUUUAUCAUGUCAUGACAAACACAGAAGACAUACAAGUGUUUUUACAGGCGGAGUAGAACUUCUGACUUUGAUGUAUAAUCUUGGUGGAGUGCCCAUUUAAUACACAUGUAAACACAACAAGACCAUGGAACAUCCUUGACCUUGUUUAAUCUUGUAUGUCCACAGGAUGAGGCACAAUGUCUACAGAAGUAAAAUUCUCACUGUGUUCCCUGGCUCUGCUCAGGCCUUGUAUCCACUCACAAUUUAACAUCUGGAGUGGGUGGAGCAAAUGUCAGGGCUUGGGGAGGCACACAGGCCUUGGUUUGGAAAUAUAGCCACAGAUGGACUGAAGAUGGACCGUUAAAGGAUGGAUUUCAAGAUUUCUUGGUCCUCUGCAGAGUUUUUCUUCUUCUAACUGAGCUCCAAAAUUCCAGUCACCUAACAAUGAAGAAUUGUGGUUGCUCCCAUCUCCGGGCUGUCAGGUUCAGUUCAGUUGGCAAGUUCUCUGGAGCAGCAAAAUGAGCCUUGGGUACGCGAGCAGUACCUGGGGAAGGAUUCAAGUGCCUCCAUGCUGCUUCAUUUGCCAUGGCGACCUCCGGCUGUGAUGUCUGCUCCAACAUCCCUUUAGGAGUGAACAAGUUCAGAUGGAAGGUAAUACUGGUCAUAUUUCUUGGUUUACUAGAGCCAUUCUGUAUUUGGAUGCACUAUAUCAAACUAUGAGAGAUAUAACAAGACAAUCCAUCAUUUCCGGUGGCAGAGGCAGUGAAACUGCCAAUGUGUAAACUUCCUUUUUACACAUUUGUGGAAUUUUGUCCAAUGUGUACUGCGAAGA